rnacentral:rRNA from 1 species
GACGAACGCUGGCGGCGUGCUUAACACAUGCAAGUCGAACGGAAAGGCCCUGCUUGCAGGGUACUCGAGUGGCGAACGGGUGAGUAACACGUGGGUGAUCUGCCCUGCACUUCGGGAUAAGCCUGGGAAACUGGGUCUAAUACCGGAUAGGAGCCAUUUUUAGUGUGAUGGUUGGAAAGUUUUUUCGGUGUAGGAUGAGCUCGCGGCCUAUCAGCUUGUUGGUGGGGUAAUGGCCUACCAAGGCGGCGACGGGUAGCCGGCCUGAGAGGGUGGACGGCCACUUUGGAACUGGGUUACGCCCCGACCUCCACCGGGGGGAGGAGGUGGGAAUAUUUGCACAAUGGGGGAAGGCCUAAGGAGGCAACGCCGGGUGGGGAUGACGGCCUUCGGGUUGUAAACUCCUUUCGCUAGGGACGAAGCUUUUUGUGACGGUACCUAGAUAAGAAGCACCGGCUAACUACGUG